rnacentral:rRNA from 1 species
AUACGGAGGGUGCAAGCGUUACUCGGAAUCACUGGGCGUAAAGCGCGCGCAGGCGGCUAUUUAAGUUGGAUGUGAAAGCCUACGGCUCAACCGUAGAACUGCAUCCAAAACUAUUUAGCUAGAGUGUGGGAGAGGAAGAUGGAAUUAGUUGUGUAGGGGUAAAAUCCGUAGAGAUAACUAGGAAUACCAAAAGCGAAGGCAAUCUCCUGGAACACUACUGACGCUGAGGCGCGAAAGCGUGGGGAGCAAACGGGAUUAGAAACCCCAGUAGUCC